rnacentral:tRNA from 1 species
UGGCUCAGUUAGUAGAGCAUGGUGUUUGCAACGCCAGCAUGGUGUGUGCAACACCAGGUUUGUGGGUUCGAUUCCCAC